rnacentral:rRNA from 1 species
UACGUAGGCAGCAAGCGUUGUUCGGAGUUACUGGGCGUAAAGGGUGUGUAGGCGGUUCUUUAAGUUUGCUGUGAAAUCCCCGGGCUCAACCCGGGAACUGCGUCCGAUACUGGAAGGCUUGAAUCCGGGAGAGGGAUGCGGAAUUCCAGGUGUAGCGGUGAAAUGCGUAGAUAUCUGGAGGAACACCGGUGGCGAAGGCGGCAUCCUGGACCGGCAUUGACGCUGAGGCGCGAAAGCCAGGGGAGCAAACGGG